UCUCGGGGAAGACGUGGUUGGGUUCCAGGCACAGCCGCACAAACGGGUCGCUGAGGCCUGGCAAGCAUCAAAGCACCAGGUCAUGUAGAACUUCUCUAUGAGCUGGUGGCUGGUCAGCGAGUGGUGAGUGAGACAGACAACGGACCUGGAUUGACAACAUUUCAAUGAAAUAUUAGAGAACUCAGCUGCCGGCGUCCACGGGAACUCACCUUGUAUUCGUCGGAGUGCAACGCCUUCUCAGGAAGU